rnacentral:rRNA from 1 species
UACGAAGGGGGCUAGCGUUGCUCGGAAUCACUGGGCGUAAAGCGCACGUAGGCGGCUUUUUAAGUCAGGGGUGAAAUCCUGGAGCUCAACUCCAGAACUGCCUUUGAUACUGGCUGUCUUGAGUUCGGGAGAGGUGAGUGGAAUGCCGAGUGUAGAGGUGAAAUUCGUAGAUAUUCGCAAGAACACCAGUGGCGAAGGCGGCUCACUGGCCCGGUACUGACGCUGAGGUGCGAAAGCGUGGGGAGCAAACAGG